AUUGAACGCUGGCGGAAUGCUUUACACAUGCAAGUCGAACGGCAGCGCGGGGCAACCUGGUGGCGAGUGGCGAACGGGUGAGUAAUGCAUCGGAACGUACCUUUCAGUGGGGGAUAACGUAGCGAAAGUUACGCUAAUACCGCAUAUUCUGUGAGCAGGAACGCAGGGGAUCGCAAGACCUUGCGCUGAUUGAGCGGCCGAUGUCAGAUUAGCUAGUUGGUGAGGUAAAGGCUCACCAAGGCGACGAUCUGUAGCGGGUCUGAGAGGAUGAUCCGCCACACUGGAACUGAGACACGGUCCAGACUCCUACGGGAGGCAGCAGUGGGGAAUUUUGGACAAUGGGGGCAACCCUGAUCCAGCCAUGCCGCGUGAGUGAAGAAGGCCUUCGGGUUGUAAAGCUCUUUCGGCCGGGAAGAAAUCGCACGGGCUAAUACCCUGUGUGGAUGACGGUACCGGAAUAAGAAGCACCGGCUAACUACGUGCCAGCCGCCGCCGUAAAAC
rnacentral:rRNA from 1 species